UUUCUCCUCGAAGGCCGAGACUUUUUUUUUUUUUAAUGUAGAAAACCAGUACAAAUUUACAAAACACACUAGAAAAUGCUCUCUUAUCUCUAGUUUGCUUUUUUGUGUACAAACUGUUAACCUGAACAGUUUUCCGGUGCAAAAGGUCUCACCAGAAACUUUAGGAAAGAUGAGUGUGGGUGCGGGAAGCAGAAGAAACUAAGCUGAGAAAACCCGGAAAAAUACUCGGCGCAGCCGCUGCGGCCUUGGGUCAUCUCACCUCGAUCUACCCCGCGUGCUCGCUUUCGCUUGGGGUGGAAAGCGGGAUUCAGGGGCUCUUUUCAGCGGACUGAGAAAUCGCAGAGGCCAUGGGGACCCCAAGUCAGGAUUCCCCUUUCCCGACAGCAGGGGUAAAGGGAGCGGGGGUUCCUUCGCUUCACUGUGCCCCAGCUCUACCGAGAGGCAGGCCUCUGGGAAACGAGCCGGGGACCUGGGGGCCCGGGCGGCCG
rnacentral:antisense_RNA from 1 species